UGUGUCUAUAACUAGCGGGUGUGUGUGCAGAGGGAUCUAGAAAAGUCUCUCGCUUUAAGAUGAUACAGUCUGCAAAGAGAGAAAACACAAAGACCUCACAAACAAACCAAUGAAUCAUGCCAGGCCGUGAUAAAGACUCUCCGAGGACACAGUUACCCAGCGAUGACGUCACAGAAAAGGCAAGAGGGCCUGACAGGGAUCUCAGAGGACAAACAGAGUCUCACCAGACCCGACGGAACCGUUCCAGGUGGAUGAAGGGUGUGAUCGGAGCGGCCUUAGUGGAGUCUGUGGAAACUGGGAAAUAGUGGGCCUUAAGCUGGGAAUGUGGAUUCAGGCCAGAAUGUGGAAGGAAACUAAGGCGCUUGGACUUCAUCCUAGUGGAAGAACUGCAAUCCAGUGACUAAGCAGCUAUGACAGAAUGUGUGUAUUUUGGGACGUGUUUCUACAUAUCAACAGCAAGGUACCACACUGAUCAUCAGACUGUGGCUGUGGUACCUGAUGAAAUAGCUGUGGACUCACCCAGCUGCUGAAGGCUGUCCCGUGUGACUCACAGGUCACUAUUUGAGCUUUGCUAAGAAUCCAAGCGCCCACACAAGCCAGGAAGUUCCAACAACCCAGGCAGGAUCAGCUUGGCGGAGAGCACCUCCUCUUUCACCCUCUGUAGGGUUAUGGGGAAAGCUCUGGUGUUCAACGUGGACCACGACAAUCUGGUGAACGCCACAAAUCCUGCCGAGCCUGGGAUUGCAUGCCUUUUGAUUAAUACAGGUAUAUACUGAGCAUUGUCCUGUCGAUCUGCCACUCAGUUAAAAGAUUCCCUCAGACCUCUGCAGCAUGACCUCAGAACUCGUUUUAAAGCCCUUAAUAGCAAAUAAAUGCUCAGG
rnacentral:lncRNA from 1 species